rnacentral:lncRNA from 1 species
GGCCUCUCCUGCCCUAAAUCCCUGCUUCUGGAUCUGCAUGUCGGUGUUUAACCUAGAAGUAACUUUCAAAGGCCUAUAUAUUCAUAACCUUCUUCUAGCUCUUCUCCUACCUCGUACGCCUCUACCUUUUACUUCCCUAUAGUCCCUUAUCUCAUUUGGCAACUCCUCGAGCUGGUCUUCACUUUUGAUCUAUCAUACUCGGUGUUAUUUCAUGGAGAGUUCUGCCUUGUGUCAAUAACAAAGGUUAGCUAGGGUUAAUGGUUGAAGGCAUUAAAGGAGCAUUCCUCAGUCCAGCCGAGGCAGUUCGAGGGCUCAAACCCAGCUGCUGACUCGUUGGUUCAUGAACUCAUCAACAUUUAGGGCGAAAACAUUGGUGUGUUUCUGAUCCAACGAUGCAGGAGCCGAGGUUUGCUUUUGCUGUCACGACUUGGACUGAA